rnacentral:tRNA from 1 species
GCCACCUUGGCUCAGGGGCAGAGCAGCUCACUCGUAAUGAGCAGGUCCCCGGUUCGAAUCCGGGAGGUGGCUCCA